UCUACGGAGAGUUUGAUCCUGGCUCAGAACGAACGCUGGCGGCGUGCCUAACACAUGCAAGUCGAACGGUAACAGGUCUUCGGAUGCUGACGAGUGGCGCACGG
rnacentral:rRNA from 1 species